UUGGCCCUGAAUCAAGACCGGCACUUUGCAGGAGCUCUUGGUUUCAAGCAGGAGCAUAAAGAUGUAUUUCUGUGGUCUGUUUACCAUUUCAGAACUUUGGAAAUGUAAUAGUCCGUCCAUUUGAGAGAAACAGCU
ensembl:snoRNA